rnacentral:rRNA from 1 species
UACAGAGGUCUCAAGCGUUGUUCGGAUUCAUUGGGCGUAAAGAGCUCGUAGGCGGUUCGAUAAGUCAGGUGUGAAAACUCUGGCUCAACUCAGAGACGCCACUUGAUACUGUCGUGACUUGAAUCUGGUAGGGGAGUGUGGAAUUUCCCGGUGUAGCGGUGAAAUGCGCAGAUAUCGGGAGGAACACCAGUGGCGAAGGCGGACUCACUGGUCCGGUACUGACGCUGAGGUGCGAA